rnacentral:misc_RNA from 1 species
AGAAGCAGCACGGGAAAGAUGUGUGCGUUUAGUAUAGACUAUAUCUAGUUGUGCUAACUCGUUGAAGAUAGUCAGUCGGCUUCGUCCAGCUGUCGCCAGCCAUCGCCGUUUGUUUUUUGAUUGGAAAAAGGGGAAUCGGUAGCAAUCGAAUUGUUAUCAAAUGUAAUGGGGCCUCUGGUCUUGAUGGAGACUAUCAUCUUAGCGGCUGGAUUGGUGGCUUUUCUUUUCGUCGGCUUUGCCCAAUCGGCCGUCAAUUGCAACCGGACCACGCUGGACCAGUGUCUGGAAGCCAUCGAACCUCUACUAAACAGCCCAGCCAUGGCCAAAGGAAUUCCAUCGACCAAGGAGGCUGUCCAAGCUCGUUGCGCGGUCUUCAAAGUGGGCAUGUCGUGCAUCGAUGAGUUCAAAGAUCAAUGUCUAAAUCAACGCCAAAAGCUGCAGAUGGAACGGGCAGUUGCUGGAGCUCAGCACACGUUCGCUUUUCUAUGCGACGAUCCUGUUUUCCAGUCGGAAUUUCUGCAACAUCAGAGCUGUCUCCAUGGCACGUCCGACGAUUGGGAACGCUGCGCUUAUCAUUUCCAGGGUAUGGUCGCAGAAGAAAUAGCAGCCAACAUCACGAAAGCUGAUCGAAAUCUCGGCCUUUGUUGCGCCAAACACGGUUUCCUGAGGUGCGUCUAUUAUGCGGCUCAAUUCAAAUGCCGCAAAGAAGAAGCGCUAUUCUUGAUGAGGGUUGCGCAAACGUUGACCGAGUCGCAAGUGCACGAAAACGCUUGCAAAAAGAUCAAAUUCGAUGAAGUUUGCGCAUCCGAUUCCACCGUCCCGACCGCCUCUUCGUUCCUGAUGACCCUGGUCGUCAUGGCAACCUGGUUGUCGAUCUCCAUUGCGUCACGAUAAAAAUAAAAAUAAAAUAAAAGGCGAUUUUGAAAGUUUGGGUUUUUGAAUUUGUAAGGGUGCAAUGUUUGAAUUGAAAAAGAAAUUUGUUUCUACGAUGUCCAUAUUUAUUUGUACACCAUUUUAAUUAAUCGUCUGUAAAUAAAUUCAUCAGCGAGUUGUUCCACACACAACAACAAAAAACGAUUUGGAUUUUUUUUUUUUCAGGUUUAUUUUGUGGUCGGCUGACCAAAGCUCAACUUAACGGUCAGAUCACUUUGCAAGUAACAAAUUUCGCACAUUUUUUUUUUUUUAUAAUUUUCUUCGUCUGCGUGUGUAAUAAUAUUUUUUUUUUUUUCGGCAGUUGUAAUAGAUUCCCUGGCGACAUUUGUAAGAGUUUUGUAAGCUAGUCUACCUAUUUUGCAGCAUCGAUUUCAUGUUUGAUUUCUUUUUUGAGUUUCGGUGGAGAUUCAACCCAAUUGCAAUCGCCUGCUCCUCUUGCCGCUUUUCCUCAACCCGUUGGCACCGGUCUCGUCAGUGGGGAAAUGAAACGAUCCCGCGGCCGGCAGCCACGACUGAUGCCUGCAUUUUGAAUCGGCAAACAUUUGCCGCGAUUCCUUUGAACUGAUGGGCGUGUCCUCUCCGCAAAUCACGGCACUGCGAACAUGCCGAAAUGAGAAACGCAUUCAAAUAAAGUUGAAAGGUAAGAAAAAGAACAACUUGUUUAACUAUUAAUGAUUCAAAAGCCUUCAAAGCCGAGUAAGGCUACGUAGUUUGCCUAUUCAAAUACCUGCUGUUCGACUCUAAAUUAUGGACGAUAAUGCGAUUGACGUGAAGAGCCGGAACGGUAAGAAUCCGCCACGUGAGCGGAUUAAAAACGCUGGAUGAGUAAGUCCACACGAGCGUGACGCUCUUGAUGUCUCCCAACCACGUCGAGCCCAAAACGUAAGAAUAAGCUCUCCUCGGUUCGAAACGAACAUUCCUGUUUGAAAAAUGCAAGCAAUUUUAAUUGUUAAGAAUUUGUGCUUUCCCCCUUUUUUUUCAAUUUUUUUAUUAAGAUUGCAACCGGAAAGAAGGAGAUCUUAUUUGCGGGUGGGGGAGGGGGGGGGUUUUGUUUGUUUUUGUUAGCUUUUCGUGUAAGUCUCUAUCCAUUUCUGGUGUACGCGUAUAUAAAUCAAGUGGGCGUAAUGGAAGAGUCAUCAAUAAUAACGGCGACAGCGCCAAAAGACGCCACCUUUUUACAUUGCCCCCCUUUAAAAAUGUUUAAGAUUAAAGAAAGUCGCCAAUUUCCGCAGCUGGAAAGCACGUAACAUUUGAUUAACAAAGCCAUAUCCCCUUUCAUUCAUUCAUAGAGAUGAAUAAUGUCCCUAUUUUUGAAGUUUAAAAAGGGGAAAACAACAAAAAUAGGGAAGCCCAGAUGCUACCAAAAAAUGAAAGUUUUCCCUUUUUUGGAGGCGCUCGUCCUAGACUUGAAUAAUUAGAAAGCGAAAGGACAAAAGAAAAUUCAUCUAUUAUUUUACUCUGGAGUGAGACGAGUCGGUGGGGAUGACCGGUUGUGUCCGUGAAGUUGAAUCGAAAGCCAGCCUCUGUCGCCACCGUGUUGGAUGCUCUCGAACGUGUCUGAAAUGACGAUCGUCACCCGAUAAUGGGAGAAAUUACAACAAAAUGGCUGAUCGUCCCGAGUGAGCAGAUACAUUUGAAUGGAAUCGUCUGUCUGCUGUUGGCCGGGCCAGUUGAGGCCGGUAGAUGAUGCCACCGAUUGAUGGUCAGCGGAAUAUCCCAUGCGGUGGCAAGCGUUCGUGCCGCAAUGACACCUUCCCUCAAGAAAAUCUUCAAAGGACGGACAUUGAACAGCUAAAAACGGACACGCUGAAUUGAAUGAUUCGGUGAAGAAUUCGACAGACCGCAGGUUGUGAAUUAAUCAUUCAACCAGCUCCGACUUGCUGUAUUCAAAUUAGGCUUCGUAGAAUUAGAAAGCCAGACAAUGUCUCAUCACAAAUAGGUAGGGGAUCGAAAAGGCUUUUUUUUAUUUUAAUACCAUAGAGAACGCUGCCACGCUCCUUUUCGAUCGAAUCAAGGACGCUCGUCCCGCAGCCUGGCUGACGAACCCCACCGUUCGGAAAGGAUUGGCCCAGCGUCCGUAUGGAUAACAUCAACGAAAAGAGCUUUGAGUGUGUGUUCCAUCAAAAAGAGAUAGUUAAUAAUGGGACUACAACUCUCGUAUUUCUAUUUACAUAUUACCAUCUGUAGGAUCGAGCCGGAUCAAAGGUUCUGUAUUCUCGAAAUAAGGAUCAGCUGGAUCCAUACCUGUGUUUUUGCACCAUUAUAUCAAACAAAUCAUUAGUGUAGAGGUUUCGGAUUACAAAUCCCCGUAUGGAUGACACGAAAGGGGGAAAAAAUGAGAAAUUUGUGUUUUGUUAUAUAGAAAGGUGCGAAAAGGCUACUGUUACCUGUUAUCCUGCCAAGCAUGUGACCUCGAUCUCGUAGAUAUUGACCAGUGUAUCCAGCCAAAUGCGCUCCUGGGUGUUCACGAAGGAAAUUUAAAAAAAUUACCUGACACCGGGACCGGUUGUGCCUCGUAUACAAACAAAAAGCCGGUUGUAUAAUUUCCGGUGCUUCUGGAAAAUUAUUGAUAGGCCUAUUCGACGACGUCCAUGGUCGGUUAACGGAAUAACACCCGAAAGUACCGUAGCAGCCUGCACGAACAAUCAAUCUCCGUUAUG